rnacentral:rRNA from 1 species
UACAGAGGUGGCAAGCGUUGUUCGGAAUUACUGGGCGUAAAGGGCGCGUAGGCGGCCAUCUAAGUCAGACGUGAAAUCCCCCGGCUUAACCUGGGAACUGCGUCUGAUACUGGACGGCUUGAGUAUGGGAGAGGGAUGUAGAAUUCCAGGUGUGGCGGUGAAAUGCGUAGAUAUCUGGAGGAAUACCGGUGGCGAAGGCGGCAUCCUGGACCAUUACUGACGCUGAGGCGCGAAAGCUAGGGGAGCAAACGGG